rnacentral:rRNA from 1 species
UGACGAGUGGCGGACGGGUGAGUAAUGCUUGGGAACUUGCCUUUGCGAGGGGGAUAACAGUUGGAAACGACUGCUAAUACCGCAUAAUGUCUNCGGACCAAACGGGGCUUCGGCUCCGGCGCAAAGAGAGGCCCAAGUGAGAUUAGCUAGUUGGUAAGGUAANGGCUUACCAAGGCAACGAUCUCUAGCUGUUCUGAGAGGAAGAUCAGCCACACUGGAACUGAGACACGGUCCAGACUCCUACGGGAGGCAGCAGUGGGGAAUAUUGCACAAUGGGGGAAACCCUGAUGCAGCCAUGCCGCGUGUGUGAAGAAGGCCUUCGGGUUGUAAAGCACUUUCAGUUGUGAGGAAAAGUUAGUAGUUAAUACCUGCUAGCCGUGACGUUAACAACAGAAGAAGCACCGGCUAACUCCGUGCCAGCAGCCGCGGUAAUACGGAGGGUGCGAGCGUUAAUCGGAAUUACUGGGCGUAAAGCGCACGCAGGCGGUUUGUUAAGCUAGAUGUGAAAGCCCCGGGCUCAACCUGGGAUGGUCAUUUAGAACUGGCAGACUAGAGUCUUGGAGAGGGGAGUGGAAUUCCAGGUGUAGCGGUGAAAUGCGUAGAUAUCUGGAGGAACAUCAGUGGCGAAGGCGACUCCCUGGCCAAAGACUGACGCUCAUGUGCGAAAGUGUGGGUAGCGAACAGGAUUAGAUACCCUGGUAGUCCACACCGUAAACGCUGUCUACUAGCUGUGUGUG